rnacentral:lncRNA from 1 species
AAUUCGCUUAAUGAGAUGCCAACAAAUAAUAGUACAAAAGGUUUGUUUGUGGACCAUCGUUGUAGUCUCUCCGCAUCAAUAGAUUUUGCUAAUUUUCCCGAGAGCAUCACGACAACAUUGUUGGAGAAGCCCCAGGAAGAAGAAGAGUACAUGCUCAAGAUAGAAGAAGAUACACGCACUUUGGCACACACACACAUAUAGUGCAUUUUCUCUUGUAUUUCCUCUCUUUCAUGUAGCUGAUUACAAAGUCCUUUAGUAGAGACACACACGUACUACAUACUGCUUAAUGAUUAUUAGCAUCAUAUUUUCAAACCAUUCACUGACCUCUAAAGGACAGAGAAAGUUCAUAAACUACAUCCGAAUUCUGGUGUGUCUUUCGAGCCCCUUCAGUUCUACAAAAGAUAUGUCAUGAUAGCAAUCUGCUACUAUAUAUACAAAAGUCAGAAGAAUAUGAUUCCACUUAAAAUAAGGCAGAUUAACCUAUCAAUUCCACUUUCAAGAUCGAACAAACUAAUUGUACUUAUUCGAAGUAAUAUGUUGAAUUUUGGAAGUUUAGUAGAAUGUGUUUAAAUACUUACAUGUAAACAAUGUCCACGGUGUUCCGAAUAUCCCAACAUAAUAUGUAUAGAUCCUAACAAAAAAUCAUGACGAGGUCAGUUGUUUGUAUAGUCCCAAGAUAUAUGUGAUGAAGAACCUUGAGAUCAGUUAUUGAAAAUACAGAUUUUUAGUUACCUUCCACCCUCCAUUAUAUAAAUAAUUUCCAUAUUUUAAAAAAAGCACCUGAGAUUUGCAUCAUUGUUAUAUGCUAUCUAUACAACAAAAGCUAAGGAAGUAGUGUUGCUUCACAAACCUGUGUAACACCCCCAAGCUGGCCAUUAGAACAUAUAAUGGCUCCAUGCUACCCUCUGCAUAAACAGCUGUUGUGUGGCUAUAAGAGCCAACUGCGAGCAUCCCAUUUUGAGGGGAGAACGAAAUUGAAGUUACUAUACCUGUUGGAAAUAAGGAGAUCAUAAGAGGAACAACAAGGUAUUGGCUCAAAAUUACUCCCUUUGUAAACUAAUAUAAGAGCGUUUAGAUUACUAAAAUAGUGUUCUAAAUGCUCUUAUAUUAGUUUACGGAGGGAGUACUUUGAAGUUUAAUUAUGAAAAAAUAAUAAUAAUAAUGAAUACUAUCUCAAUAUUUCAUUCAUUAGUACUGUGGUAAUAACAUGACAUGUUACCGAGGGUGCCUAACUGUUUGAUUGAAGUCUUGAAGGUAGUAAUGAUGGUUACCUCCUCCUUGGUGCGGGGAUGCAUGGGCCACCUCUGCGGCGUCUUCCGCAGCCGGAGCCCCACUCGGGCGUGG